UACAGUAAUGGCUGAUAAGAUAGAAUAAUACUAUCAAGAGAUGACUGAUACAGGUAUGUGCUGAGCUGUACAUUUAGCAUUUGGAGACAAGUCACUAUUAAAAAUGAAUUUUACUCUUCUAUUACAGAAAUGUACUCGUCUAUUAGGAUUCUUUUAAUUUCGAAACCAAGUGUAAUAUAAAUCUAAAUCCUUGGCAUUUCAUUUCACACCCUUUUUGUAGCUUCAGACUGUAUCUAGUUUCCCAGGAUUGUAACAGUUUUAUCUUAAAUUUAGUACAUGGUGUCCCAGUCCAACACUGCUCUGCGCAGUAACUUGCAUGUGCCCGGACAUGUGCCGGCAUCAGUAAGGAUGCGCGCACUUCCGCGUGCGCCUACGUCCCGAUGGCUGUGACAUCAGAACCGACGGACGGAGACAUGCCAAUGUACCCGCUCAGAGGUUAUUGGCCACUGGGAAAAAUUGACUGUUCUGGCAGGAAACCCUUCUUUCUCUGGGCAGUGGCCUGGGAUCACUGACUACUGCAACUAUCCAAACUGAAAGAUACGGCUGAGAUGUGCUUUGAUGACUCCAAGAAAUGAACGUGACUGAAUCCUUAUCUGCUGGAAGACUCUGUGAAAUGAGGAAAGUGAAAAUGUCAUUCUCAUAUUACAAAGAAAAAUGUAAUGCACAUUGGAAUGGAAUGUAAUAUAUGGGGCAUACAACUUCACACAUCCCAUACUGCAGGGAUGAUAAACCUUGAAAAACAGAAUUGAUGAUAAUACUUAUGCUAAUGGCACACAAGGCUAUUUUUAUGACUGCAGAGAAAGUCAAUCCAAGCAGAUAGAUAUCCAUUCUUGUGUGUUAACAAACAAUUACAUUAUAUUGGUUCUGCUACAUUUACUUUUUUUACAGCCUUAGGAGCCGGUCUUACUUUGGAUUAGCAACAGACUGUAUUCUGUGAGCUGAAUAAUACAGUCAAUAAAUGACACAAAACUUCUUUUUGGAGAAUUAUUUAUAAAGCUCUUUUCACCCAUGGCUCUUUACAGUAAUGAAGGCUGCCCCCUUUUAAUGUUGCUCCCAGUGACAUCAAAGUACAGUGGGUGCUCCUUUAUAAAUGUCUUGCUUGUAAGCAAGUUUUAAAGUGUUAAAAAUACAAGUUCAGUUAGAAAAAAGCCUUCUGCAGGCUGGCAGUCUACACGUAACUACCAAAUAGCCAAUCACAAAAUUUAUUUGGCAACACCCAUGAACAUUUUUCAUGCUUGUGUUGCUCCCUAACAGUUUUUACAUUUGAAUGUGGCUCACAAGUAAAAAAGGUUGGAAGCCUUUUUUACCUGAGACAGUGUUCAUUGAAACUAAAGGCAGCCAUACACAGCCCAAUCUUCCUAGGCUUCUGACCAGUCAACCCAGGGGCUGAACUGAUGUAUACUGAGGGCCAUGCAUGGGGUGUCUUUUUAUUAUUCUGAUGCUUUGGGCAGACAACCAAACAAUAUGAACACUUCUUCAUCUGCCACUGCACUAUAUACUGGCAGAUAUGGUGAAUGGACAGAUAAGACUUUCUAGCAUGUCUUAUCAUCAAACCAGCAUAUAUCUAUAGCACAUGGAUAUCUGUUGCUUUCGACAAUCACCACUAAUGUUCUUACUAUCCUUUUGUACAAUAGUAUUUGUACGUGUAUUGUCAGCUUUAUGCAGUCCUUUCCAAACUGUGGGGUUGGCCUCCUUCGCAGCCUGAAGAACAUACACUACUUACAGAAUGGUUGACACAGCAAUGUUUUCAUAUUCAUGGAGGAGCUAAUAAAAUUUUGGGGAAAUUGAGACAAAAAAAAAACACAUUGGUCUCAUGUUUCUAUCCUUGCCUCUUACAAAGACUGAUUUAACUCUUUUAAUCUUAAAAUAAGUUCUUAAUACCAUCUGCGCCUACUGAAAAAUCGGAUAGAGCUGGAAGGCACU